UGGGUGAUCUGGUGGAACUGCGCCAUGUGUCUGUUUAUGGAAGUGUGUAUGCCAUUGCUGAUGUGGCCUUCUGCAUGGGAUUUUCUUUAGGUCCAUCCAUCGGAGGAUCAAUAGCUGAGAGUAUUGGCUUCCCCUAGCUGAUGACCAUCAUUGGAAUAGUGGAUAUUAUUUUUGCUCCUCUUUGCAUCUUCCUCAGGAGUCCACCGGGACAAGAAGAGAAAAUUACAUUAUUGACGGGAGAAAAACCGGUAAUUACCUUACCAUCAUUGGACACCAGUUGGCCGCAUGCAUGUCUCCAUCUGACCUUCAUGUCCAUUUGUUUGUCCCCAUGCAGCAUCUGCCAGCCUGCACCACCUCUCUCACUGUCUGUACCGCUAUGAGUUCAUCUUUUCUGCCAUUUUAUCAGUAUUUGCCUCUUUUAACUUUUUACUAG